GAAUAUUAAUAAUUCUUUGUACUUCUCGGCAUUUAUUUACCUAUUCUUUCAAAAGUUAGCCUCAGCAUUUCUACAGAAUAAUGGUUUUAGAGAUGUUAAAACUAGUCAAAGAAGACUGGGUCCAUGAAUAACAACCAUGAAGAAAGCUGCUCACCAAUAAGAAACACCUGUUUUAGACCCAGCUAAAGUUUCACUGAACAGAUCAUGUGAAAGCAUUAAUGAUUACACAAUGCACGGAGUUAGUAAGGGUAAUCAGCCCAAAUGAAGCUCUUGGGUACAGUGCAGUGAAAGGAGCCAAGUCACUGGCUCUCCGCAGAGAACGCCUGAUGAAUGGUCAAGCAGAAGAAGCCACACAGGGGCCUGGAAGUUCAGAGACAAAACAAGAAGCUAGCGCAACUAGGCAGAGACCUAAGGAGCCGAGCUUAAAGGCAGAAAGAACUAGUGUGUUCUCACCACCUCUGUGACUUUCUCUAGGAGAAAUAACCAGUUGUCUUUGCUCACAGUGUUGGAAGAUACGAACACUAGUCAAGGAACGGGAAGACCCAUGCUCUAGUCCUGGUCUGUGCACAGGCUAGCAAUGAAAUGUUAAUCAAAUUACCUCACCCCUCUGGAUUGUAGGUUAUCUACUUGUAAAACAAAAGGUACACACUUGAGAAUCACCUAGAGAAACUUCCUUAAAACGGCUUCAUUUGGCAUUUUCUAGUAGUUCACUC